GGGGAUUUAGCUCAGCGGCAUAAGCACCUGCCUUAUAAGCAGGUGGUCGUGAGUUCAAUCCCUG
rnacentral:tRNA from 1 species